AAGGAGAGAGGAAAAAAGGGAGGGCAAGUAGCACUCCAAACCCUUGGACUCCAUUAGGAGCAGGGCAUCUAAUGGGUCUAUUUUGCUUUACUGUGGACAGGCUGAGAGCUGGGAGCAUCUGCUCAGCUUUUUGUCAGUGGCUCAUUUUUUCAUAAUUUGCUCUCCAUGGAGGAGCAUAUUUUCGGCUAUAGAGAGGGCUGUGGCACCCUAGGGACUAUCCUGUGCCUUAGAGGAAGCUAGGCAUGAAACUCCUAGUGAGACUGGAAACCCCCUCAUUAGUGCCUCAGCAAGAGAAACCUGGACUCAGGGAAGGCUACCUCCUCCUCCCCUUUCUCCCUGUCUUUGCAGUCUUCAAUAAAUUCUAGCAGCCCUGGGCAGACAAGGUGCUCAGACUCUCAGCGCUCUUGUCUGCUACAAAGAGGAAAAACAAGGCAAACCUCCCUCCUGCCCUGUCUCCUGAGACCUGUACCCUGCUGGGGCUAAGAAAAGAGCCAGGAGGAACAUGCCCCAGGAAUGGUGAGGGCAUAAAGAGGGAAGGGGGCACUGUACCAACUCAAAGUCAGCAGGCAAGGAAGGCUGGCUGAGGCUGGGGACUAGAUGGGUGAGGCUCGGCUCCUCAACGAAUGGAAGAAGACAAGGGCCUGGGGUACGACAUGCCAAAUCCAAGUGUCUGCACGGGUCCCAGGGGUUCCGGCGGGGCACAUGGCAGCAGUAGAAGGGAGUUUAGAGUUUUUUGGGUGAGAGGGCAGGGGUACCAUCACAAAGACAGGACCCAAUAAGUAAUAAACUCCUGUACACAUCUGUUUCAUAUUAUAAAUACACAUUAUAUACAAAAUAAUGUUAUAAAAUGUAGAAAGGUCAGUGCUUCUGAUUCUUAAAUUAUUGAAAUAC
rnacentral:lncRNA from 1 species